rfam:Triticum aestivum genome assembly, contig: Triticum_aestivum_CS42_TGACv1_scaffold_602657_7DL
CAUAUACUCCCUCCGUUCGAAAAAACUUAUCCCAAUCUUGUCUCUUAAAUAGAUGUAUCUAGCACUAAUUUGACGUUAAAUACAUCCAUUUAAGGAACAAGCAUUUUCAGACGGAGGGAGUAUAUC